AACGAACGCUGGCGGCAGGCCUAACACAUGCAAGUCGAACGAGUAAGAGCCGUAGCAAUACGGAGUUCUGCUAGUGGCGCACGGGUGAGUAACGCGUGGGAACGUGCCUUGGAGUUCGGGAUAACAGUUGGAAACGACUGCUAAUACCGAAUAUUCCCUCAGGGGGAAAGAUUUAUCGCUCCAAGAUCGGCCCGCGUAAGAUUAGGUAGUUGGUGGGGUAAUGGCCUACCAAGCCUACGAUCUUUAGCUGGUCUGAGAGGACGACCAGCCACACUGGAACUGAGACACGGUCCAGACUCCUACGGGAGGCAGCAGUGGGGAAUAUUGGACAAUGGGCGAAAGCCUGAUCCAGCCAUGCCGCGUGAAUGAUGAAGGCCUUAGGGUUGUAAAAUUCUUUUGCAGGGGAAGAUAAUGACGGUACCCUGCGAAUAAGCUCCGGCUAACUUCGUGCCAGCAGCCGCGGUAAU
rnacentral:rRNA from 1 species